rnacentral:rRNA from 1 species
GACGAACGCUGGCGGCGUGCCUAAUACAUGCCAGUUGAGCGCUGAAGGUUGGUACUUGUACCAACUGGAUGAGCAGCGAACGGGUGAGUAACGCGUGGGGAAUCUGCCUUUGAGCGGGGGACAACAUUUGGAAACGAAUGCUAAUACCGCAUAAAAACUUUAAACACAAGUUUUAAGUUUGAAAGAUGCAAUUGCAUCACUCAAAGAUGAUCCCGCGUUGUAUUAGCUAGUUGGUGAGGUAAAGGCUCACCAAGGCGAUGAUACAUAGCCGACCUGAGAGGGUGGUUGGCCACAUUGGGACUGAGACACGGACCAAACACCUACGGGAGGAAGCAGUAGGGAAUCGUCGGCGAUGGACGAAAGUCUGACCGAGCAACGCCGCGUGAGUGAAGAAGGGUGUCGGAUCGUAAAACUCUGUUGGUAGAGAAGAACGUUGGUGAGAGUGGAAAGCUCAUCAAGUGACGGUAACUACCCAGAAAGGGACGGCUAACUACGUG